rnacentral:rRNA from 1 species
AUACGUAGGGGGCGAGCGUUGUCCGGAUUUACUGGGCGUAAAGGGUGAGUAGGCGGUUGUAUAUGUCAGGUGUAAAAGGCUAUGGCUUAACCAUAGUUCGCACUUGAAACUGUAUGACUUGAGUGCAGGAGAGGUAAGCGGAAUUCCUAGUGUAGCGGUGAAAUGCGUAGAUAUUAGGAGGAACACCAGUGGCGAAGGCGGCUUACUGGACUGUAACUGACGCUGAGUCACGAAAGCGUGGGUAGCAAACAGGAUUAGAUACCCUGGUAGUCCACGCUGUAAACGAUGAGUGCUAGGUGUUGGGUAGCGAUACUCAGUGCCGUAGUAAACACAAUAAGCACUCCGCCUGGGGAGUACGUACGCAAGUAUGAAACUCAAAGGAAUUGACGGGG